GACGAAGGAUGCAAGCGUUAUCCGGAUUCAUUGGGCUUAAAGGGAGCGUAGGUGGCCUUAUAAGUCAGUGGUGAAAUCUCUGGGCUUAACCCAGAAAUUGCCAUUGAUACUGUAGGGCUUGAGUAUAGAUGCCGUUGGCGGAAUAUGACAUGUAGUGGUGAAAUACAUAGAGAUGUCAUAGAACACCGAUUGCGAAGGCAGCUAACGAAACUAUAACUGACACUGAGGCUCGAAAGUGUGGGGAUCAAACAGG
rnacentral:rRNA from 1 species